CUGCGAAUGGCUCAUUAAAUCAGUUAUCGUUUAUUUGAUAAUACCUUACUACUUGGAUAACCGUGGUAAUUCUAGAGCUAAUACAUGCUAAAAAUCCCGACUUCGGAAGGGAUGUGUUUAUUAGAUAAAAAACCAAUGCCCUUCGGGGCUUCUUGGUGAUUCAUGAUAACUUUACGGAUCGCAUAGCCUUGCGCUGGCGACGGUUCAUUCAAAUUUCUGCCCUAUCAACUUUCGAUGGUAAGGUAUUGGCUUACCAUGGUUUCAACGGGUAACGGGGAAUUAGGGUUCGAUUCCGGAGAGGGAGCCUGAGAAACGGCUACCACAUCCAAGGAAGGCAGCAGGCGCGCAAAUUACCCAAUCCCGACACGGGGAGGUAGUGACAAUAAAUACUGAUACAGGGCUCUUUUGGGUCUUGUAAUUGGAAUGAGUACAAUUUAAACCUCUUAACGAGGAACAAUUGGAGGGCAAGUCUGGUGCCAGCAGCCGCGGUAAUUCCAGCUCCAAUAGCGUAUAUUAAAGUUGUUGCAGUUAAAAAGCUCGUAGUUGAAACUUGGGCCUGGCUGGCGGGUCCGCCUCACCGCGUGCACUCGUCCGGCCGGGCCUUCCUUCUGAAGAACCUCAUGCCCUUCACUGGGCGUGUUGGGGAAUCAGGACUUUUACUUUGAAAAAAUUAGAGUGUUCAAAGCAGGCCUUUGCUCGAAUACGUUAGCAUGGAAUAAUAAAAUAGGGCGUGCGUUUCUAUUUUGUUGGUUUCUAGAGACGCCGCAAUGAUUAACAGGAACAGUCGGGGGCAUCAGUAUUCAGUUGUCAGAGGUGAAAUUCUUGGAUUUACUGAAGACUAACUACUGCGAAAGCAUUUGCCAAGGAUGUUUUCAUUAAUCAGUGAACGAAAGUCAGGGGAUCGAAGACGAUCAGAUACCGUCGUAGUCUUGACCGUAAACUAUGCCGACUAGGGAUC
rnacentral:rRNA from 1 species